AUGCCAAUCUUCCUGCUGACGGCUUUAAAGGCUGACAAAGGCAUCCUCAGGGCCUUUGCGAAGAUCAGUCGUGGCAUGCUCUGGGCCUGUAAGGAGGCGGUUAGUGGAGGGAAAUGCAAAGUCAACUGGCAAAAGGUCUGCCGCCCCAAGGAGCUCGGUGGUUUGGGGGUUCUGGACCUGGAGAGGUUCUCCCGGGCCCUGAGGCUUCGCUGGUUAUGGUAUGAGUGGAAGGCUCCUGAGAAGCCAUGGGUGGGCUCUGAAACACCCAACGACGCCUCCGACCUUGACCUCUUCAAUGCGACUACUCGCGUCACCAUCGGAAAUGGCGCCAAGGCCUCCUUCUGGUCGUCUUCAUGGCUCAAUGGUGCCCCGCCAAAAGACCUGGCUCCCCUAAUUUUCAAGGCUUCCAAGAGGAAGAAUCGGAUGGUCCAGGACGCUCUCGCUGAUAACAACUGGAUCUCGGACAUAGCGGUGGAUGCAUUCACGACCGAUCACAUGGAACAAUACGUCUGCCUCUGGGAGCUCUUGUCGGAUAUCCAGCUUCAUCCUGACAUUGAGGACUCCAUUACCUAG
rnacentral:rRNA from 1 species